CCGCGGUAUUCUAACCGUGCAAAGGUAGCGUAANCACUUGUCCCCUAAAUAGGGACCUGUAUGAAUGGCUAAAUGAGGACCAGACUGUCUCCUUUAAUUAAUCAGUGAAACUGAUCUACCAGUCCAAAAGCUGGUAUUUCAUCAUAAGACGAGAAGACCCUGUGGAGCUUUAAAUUUAAAGNNAAAACUAAUAAAGUCUCACUAAACCCUAAAUAUGGCCCAAAAUUUUAAGUUGGGGCGACUUCGGAACAAAACAAAACUUCCGAGCAUAAAGGAAAUUAACCUCAUCAAGACCCACAAGUCAAAACAAAACUUGACCCAGUAUAACUGAUCACCGAACCAAGUUACCCCAGGGAUAACAGCGCAAUCUUCUUCAAGAGUUCAUAUCGACAAGAAGGUUUACGACCUCGAUGUUGGAUCAGGACACCCAAAUGGUGCAGCAGCUAUUAAAGG
rnacentral:rRNA from 1 species